rnacentral:rRNA from 1 species
AGGGAUUGGCGGCAGCCUUAACAUGCAGUCGAACGGCAGCACGGGAGCAAUCCUGGCGGCGAGUGGCGAACGGGUGAGUAAUAUAUCGGAACGUGCCCAGUAAUGGGGGAUAGCCCGGCGAAAACCGGAUUAAUACCGCAUACGACCUAAGGGUGAAAGCGGGGGACCUGCAAGGGCCUCGCGUUAUUGGAGCGGCCGAUAUCAGAUUAGCUAGUUGGUGGGGUAAAGGCCUACCAAGGCGACGAUCUGUAGCUGGUCUGAGAGGACGACCAGCCACACUGGGACUGAGACACGGCCCAGACUCCUACGGGAGGCAGCAGUGGGGAAUUUUGGACAAUGGGCGCAAGCCUGAUCCAGCCAUGCCGCGUGUGGGAAGAAGGCCUUCGGGUUGUAAACCACUUUUGUCAGGGAAGAAACGGUCUGGACUAAUAAUCUGGGCUAAUGACGGUACCUGAAGAAUAAGCACCGGCUAACUACGUGCCAGCAGCCGCGGUAAUACGUAGGGUGCAAGCGUUAAUCGGAAUUACUGGGCGUAAAGCGUGCGCAGGCGGCUUUGCAAGACAGAUGUGAAAUCCCCGGGCUCAACCUGGGAACUGCAUUUGUGACUGCAUGGCUAGAGUACGGUAGAGGGGGAUGGAAUUCCGCGUGUAGCAGUGAAAUGCGUAGAUAUGCGGAGGAACACCGAUGGCGAAGGCAAUCCCCUGGACCUGUACUGACGCUCAUGCACGAAAGCGUGGGGAGCAAACAGGAUUAGAUACCCUGGUAGUCCACGCCCUAAACGAUGUCAACUGGUUGUUGGACGGCUUGCUGUUCAGUAACGAAGCUAACGCGUGAAGUUGACCGCCUGGGGAGUACGGCCGCAAGGUUGAAACUCAAGGAAUUGACGGGGACCCGCACAGCGGUGGGGAUUAGAUGUUGGUUUAAUUUCGAUGCAACGCGAAAAACCUUACCUACCCUUGACAUGUCAGAGACCCUGC